rnacentral:tRNA from 1 species
GCACCCUUAGCUCAGCUGGUAGAGCGCUUCGUUUACACCGAAGAUGUCGUAGGUUCGAGUCCUACAGGGUGCA